GUGUUGUAAGUGUCUAAGGGCGCACGGUGGAUGCCUUGGCGCAAGGAGCCGAUGAAGGACGUGGGAGGCUGCGAUAUGCCUCGGGGAGCUGUCAACCGAGCUGUGAUCCGAGGAUUUCCGAAUGGGGAAACCCAGCACCAGUCAUGUGGUGUUACCCGCCGUUGAAUAUAUAGACGGUGUGGAGGGAACGAGGGGAAGUGAAACAUCUCAGUACCCUCAGGAAGAGAAAACAAUAGUGAUUCCGUGAGUAGUGGCGAGCGAAAGCGGAUGAGGCUAAACCAUGCACAUGUGAUACCGGGUAGGGGUUGUGUGUGUGGUGUUGUGGGGUUCAUCUUUCCAGCUCUACCUGGCUGGACAGCAGUAAGAAAGUGUCAUGUUAGGUGAAGUGGCCUGGAAUGGUCCGCCGGAGAGGGUGAGAGUCCCGUAACUGAAAACGUGGUGCCUGUUGUGAUGGAUACCCGAGUAGCAGCGAGCCCGUGGAAUUUGCUGUGAAUCUGCCGGGACCACCCGGUAAGCCUGAAUACUACCUUGCGACCGAUAGCGGACAAGUACCGUGAGGGAAAGGUGAAAAGUACCCCGGGAGGGGAGUGAAAUAGUACCUGAAACCGUGUGCUUACAAUCCGUCAGAGCCCUCGUUGUGGGGUGAUGGCGUGCCUUUUGAAGAAUGAGCCUGCGAGUCAGUGCUCGGUGGCGAGGUUAACCCGUUGUGGGGUAGCCGUAGCGAAAGCGAGUCCCGAAUAGGGCGUUUGAGUCGCCGGGUCUGGACCCGAAGCGGAGUGAUCUACCCAUGGCCAGGGUGAAGCAGCAGUAAGAUGUUGUGGAGGCCCGAACCCACUUAGGUUGAAAACUGAGGGGAUGAGCUGUGGGUAGGGGUGAAAGGCCAAUCAAACUCCGUGAUAGCUGGUUCUCCCCGAAAUGCAUUUAGGUGCAGCGUCACGUGUUUCUUGCCGGAGGUAGAGCUACUGGAUGGCCGAUGGGCCCUCACAGGUUACUGACGUCAGCCAAACUCCGAAUGCCGGUAAGUGAGAACGUGGCAGUGAGACUGCGGGGGAUAAGCUUCGUAGUCGAGAGGGAAACAGCCCAGAUCGCCGGCUAAGGCCCCUAAGCGUGUACUAAGUGGAAAAGGAUGUCCGGUCGCGAAGACAACCAGGAGGUUGGCUUAGAAGCAGCCACCCUUGAAAGAGUGCGUAAUAGCUCACUGGUCUAGUGGCUGGGCGCCGACAAUGUAGCGGGGCUCAAGUACACCGCCGAAGCCGCGGCACUCACAGUUUUGACUGUGGGUGGGUAGGGGAGCGUCGUGCAGCCGUAGAAGCAGCAGGGUGACCUAGUUGUGGAGGCUGUGCGAGUGAGAAUGCAGGCAUGAGUAGCGAAUGACAAGUGAGAAACUUGUCCUCCGGAUGACCAAGGGUUCCUGGGCUAGGUUAAUCCUCCCAGG
rnacentral:rRNA from 1 species